rnacentral:rRNA from 1 species
GAACGAAGCUUGACGAAAGAUUUCUUCGGAAUGAAUUCUGAUAUGACUGAGUGGCGGACGGGUGAGUAACGCGUGAGCAACCUGCCCUUCGGAGGGGGAUAGUGUCUGGAAACGGACAGUAAUACCGCAUAAUGUAUUUUUACCGCAUGAUAGAAAUACCAAAACUGAGGUGCCGAAGGAUGGGCUCGCGUUGGGUUAGAUAGUUGGUGGGGUAACGGCCUACCAAGUCAACGAUCCAUAGCCGGACUGAGAGGUUGGACGGCCACAUUGGGACUGAGACACGGCCCAGACUCCUACGGGAGGCAGCAGUGGGGAAUAUUGCACAAUGGGGGAAACCCUGAUGCAGCAACGCCGCGUGAAGGAAGACGGUUUUCGGAUUGUAAACUUCUGUUCUUAGUGAAGAAAAAUGACGGUAGCUAAGGAGCAAGCCACGGCUAACUACGUGCCACCAGCCGCGGUAAUACGUAGGUGGCAAGCGUUGUCCGGAAUUACUGGGUGUAAAGGGAGCGCAGGCGGGAAGCCAAGUCAGCUGUGAAAACUACGGGCUUAACCGGGAGACUGCAGUUGAAACUGGUUUUCUUGAGUGAAGUAGAGGUCGGCGGAAUUCCGAGUGUAGCGGUGAA